CAGACAGAAUAUGAUGGACUUAAAGCUCGGCUCAGCUCUCCUAAAUUUGUGGAGAAAGCUCCUGAAGAUAUUGUCCGUGGAGUUCAAGAAAAGGCGGCAGAAACAGAAGAGAAGAUUACUCUCACCAAAAACCGAUUAGCAUUGCUCGAAUCAAGUGUUCUGGUCACAUAAUAAGACCCUCAGUCAUCUAUGCUCCAUCAGCUUAAUUGGAAAUAUCCCACUGCCAGAUUGCAAUUUGUUACCAUCGGUGUGCUGUAAACUUGGCUUUGGAUCAAGAAGUGCGGAUGCAUAGCAACUCCCGUAACCCAUGUCAACAAAAAAGCACUUGGUACACUGCUUGAAGUGGCCGAAAGACGCCGCAAUUGUUGUUUUCCUCUUGAUAACGUUCGUCCAUCACUCUAAUCUCACAUUUUUCUUUCAAUAAAGGGUAUAUAUGUAGUUAGGCUCUA